rnacentral:rRNA from 1 species
ACGGUACCCACAUCCCCCUAGAGGAGCCUGUCCUAUAAUCGAUAAUCCACGUUUGACCUCACCACUUCUAGCCAACCAGCCUGUAUACCUCCGUCGUCAGCUUACCACAUGAGCGUUAAUUAGUGAGCCUAAUGCCAUUUCAUCAAUACGUCAGGUCANGGUGCAGCAAAUGAAGAGGGAAGAGAUGGGCUACACUUUCUACAUUAGAAGAUACGAAAAACUACCUAUGAAACCUAGUUAGAAGGCGGAUUUAGCAGUAAAAAGGGAUCAGAAUGUCCUUUUUAACCCGGCACUGGGGUGUGUACACACCGCCCGUCACCCUCUUCAGAUUUAUAAACACAGUUUUUAACCAACCAAAACUUAACAGAAGAGGCAAGUCGUAACAUGGUAAGCAUACCGGAAGGUGUGCUUGGAAACGUANUGUAGCUUAAUAAAAG